CCUACGGGGGUCAGCAGUGGGGGAUAUUGCACAAUGGGGGAAACCCUGAUGCAGCGACGCCGCGUGGGUGAAGAAGCGCCUCGGCGCGUAAAGCCCUGUCAGCAGGGAAGAAAAUGACGGUAUCUGAAGAAGAAGCCCCGGCUAACUACGUGCCAGCAGCCGCGGUAAUACGUAGGGGGCAAGCGUUAUACGGAUUUACUGGGCGUAAAGGGGGCGCAGACGGGGAUGCAAGCCAGGAGUGAAAGCCCGGGGCCCAACCCCGGGACUGCUCUUGGAACUGCGUGGCUAGAGUGCAGGAGGGGCAGGCGGAAUUCCUGGUGUAGCGGUGAAAUGCGUAGAUAUCAGGAGGAACACCGGUGGCGAAGGCGGCCUGCUGGACUGCAACUGACGUUGAGGCCCGAAAGCGUGGGGAGCAAACAGGAUUAGAUACCCUUGUAGUC
rnacentral:rRNA from 1 species